rnacentral:rRNA from 1 species
AUGGCCAAGGCCCAGGUCAUCGCCCGGAUCACGGUUGAGGUGGCGCCGUCCAUCAUCAGGCGCCGCCGACGCGGGCUCCCGUUGACGGUGCUGGACACGAUAGCCGAGGAGGAGAAGGAGGCGGCCGCGGCCAUGGCGCCUCACCACCGCAACAAUGCGACCGCCUGCCGCUGCGCCGGGGACACCACUGGCUCUUCGGUGCACGCCGGUGCCGAGAAGGGGAAGCGGUGCGUCGGCGGGAGCAACGAACCCUCGGAGCGCGGGGAGGAGCGGCUCGCGCCGGCCAAAGCGCGGUGCUCAAAGAUCGCCGCGUGA